UACGUAGGGCGCGAGCGUUGUCCGGAUUUAUUGGGCGUAAAGAGCUCGUAGGCGGCUUGUCGCGUCGACUGUGAAAACCCGCGGCUCAACUGUGGGCUUGCAGUCGAUACGGGCAGGCUGGAGUUCGGUAGGGGAGACUGGAAUUCCUGGUGUAGCGGUGAAAUGCGCAGAUAUCGGGAAGAACACCCGUGGCGAAGGCGGCCCUCUGGGACGGUACUGACGCUGAGACGCGAAAGCGUGGGGAGCGAACAGG
rnacentral:rRNA from 1 species